GGCUGCCGCCCUUCCCCCACCCACGCCGGUUGGAGCCUCCCGUUCGCGCUGCCAGCAGCUUCCGCCUGCUGCGGUCCUGGCAAGCACCUCGGGAUCUCAUUCCUUCACAGGGGCCCUAGCCGGUUAAAGCUGAUACAUUCCUGUGGGUCAACUAUGCAACUAACUCAGAUUUUGAGCAAACAAAGCUCUCAAGUUGGUGAUCCUCAGGAGUCUCUGCAUUAGUUGGACAGCUCUUCUGGAAUUAUCUUCUAAGUCAACUGUGGGUUGGGUAGGUGGCUCUGCUGAUUUUUUGCUGGACUUCCACAUUUGGGACCAGUUGGCUGUCAUCAGCUCUAGAAAGGGUGUGGCUGUUUUACAUUGGCUGUUUUCCUCACAUUCCUCAAGCAGGUAAGCUUAAUCGUGUUCUCAUAUUGAAGCAGAAACUGUUUACUCAUUUAUCUAUUUACUUACUGAGUCUCCUGGGCACUAGGUACUGUAAUAAAGAACUGGAGAAAUAAAGUCAGAUGGGAAGUAGCCCCUGCUGUCAAGGAGCUUGCCAUCUAAUGGGGGAGACAGGCAAGUAAACCAAAGACUACACAGUGCAGUAUGGUAAGUGCCAUGAUUUUGAUAUGACAGGGCACAGUGGAAGACCUUCCAAAUCAAAGCAAGUAAGUAAGGGUUGACAAUGGUAAGUAUCAUAGUUGAAGUAUCCUUGAACAAGGUUUCAGGAAGAAGAAUAAGGGAAUUUCAUGCAGGGAAACAGCCAAAGCUCAGUGAGUCAAAAUAUCACAGCAUUCUUGGUAAGCCCAAUUUUUUUUUCUGUUUUG
rnacentral:lncRNA from 1 species